rfam:Danio rerio chromosome 6, GRCz11 reference primary assembly.
UGGAAGCUGAAUUCAGAUGGUGCCAUAGAGUAUUUUAUGGCAUCUAGCACCAUUUGAAAUCAGUGUUCC